GGGCUGUGAUUAGCACUAUUUAUCUGUCAUUUCCUUUCAGACCUGAAGAUUUCUUUGCACUGAGCUCGGAGCCUUACAUUUACAGUUUGGAUCAUUCGUCCUGGUCUAGUUUGUCACAAUCGUCGAAAAGUUCUGCUCUAGGUGACUUUGACAGUGUCAGCUCAGUCAGCGCCAAAGCAAAUGCAAGGAUCAAGAGUCAAAGAUGAAAGACGCUUUUCUACAGAUUGGGCAAGAUUUCUGAGGAAGGGGCUAAGACAUAAAAGGAAAGGAUGA
rnacentral:lncRNA from 1 species